GUGCUCACUUCGGCAGCACAUGUACUAAAAUUGGCAUGACGUGGAGAAGAUGAGCGUGGUCCCUGUGAAAGGAUGACACAUAAAUUCAUGAAGCAUUCCAUAUUUAA